rnacentral:rRNA from 1 species
AGCUGGAAUCGCUAGUAAUCGCGGAUCAGAAUGCCGCGGUGAAUACGUUCCCGGGUCUUGUACACACCGCCCGUCACACCAUGGGAGCCGGUAACGCCCGAAGUCAGUGGCCCAACCGAGAGGGGGGAGCUGCCGAAGGCGGGACUGGUAACUGGGGUGAAGUCGUAACAAGGUAAC